CAGAGGCAUGCUCAGCACCCACCGUCGGCUGUGUGCCCAGGGCAGCAGGCCUUCCUGCUAGCAAAGGGCCCCUCGCCCUCCAACUGAGCUGUGGUUCCCUGGGCCUCCCUCCUGGCCAAACACUCACUUCUCGAUGUCACUGUUCUUACAGGUCUUCUGCAUGGCCUCCUGCUUGCUGCUCUCACCGUUGCUGGUAGAUGGCAUCUCUGCUGGGACAGAGAGGCAACUCACACUCUGGCCAGACUGGGCAGCACAGGUCCUGGGAGCCCUGUGCCAGAAAGCCAAGGCCUGAUUAGCUGGUGGCCUGGAGAAACCUCUCAGGCCACAACCCUCCCUCUCAGACCUCAGCUCUCGGGUGAGCCACGACCUUCUGCUGCCUUGACCAGCCUGGCAGGAUGGAGAGCACAACACAUCUUGUUUGCCAAGGAAAAGGCCUGUCUCUGGUCAAAGAGAGAGAGAGAAAAAAAAUCAGCGUUAAUUUGAUCAACUGAUCAGAUAAUCGAUUGAGAAACUGGAGAUGCCCGCUUACUGGGGGCAGUAACGUCCUGGAACAUGAAACCACAAAAAAGGAGCCGUUGAUUUCCUCACCUGCUGCUCCCAACAAAACCAGAGCCCAGGGAGAAAGGAGUCCUGGGGCCUCUGGAGGCCUGUGCUCUCCAAAGGUGUGGUUUGAGGGUGGUGGUGCAAAGCAGCAGCUUCCGGAGAGUUUUACACUGGAAUUAGUUACAGAUGCAGUUACGGUGUCUUGUGUAAACGCCAUCGAUUGGGGAGCUGACAGUCUGGGGAGCUGCGAUGCGGGACAAUCAAUCGGCCUGCAGUGUCACCUGCCACCUCGCUGAACAGUUGACAAUGCAAUUAUCCAGUGUGGAGGCAGGGAGUUGGCGUGUGUCAAACGCACUUAGCCACUUUCCGGGCCUCCUCGAUAACGUGUUUCACUGCCUCACGUCAGGAGAGACGUAGAGAGACAGACGCCGUUUAAAACCAUUGAUACUUACUCCUUCUGCCUGUACUCCCCCUGUCCUGGCUUAACAAUUGUGUUCCAAAAGGCGAUUAAAUCCCGACAGUCGCCACAGGGGACAAGAAGGUGCCCUGCUCCUUGCCACCUCUCCUCGCCCCUCCCAGCAGCCAACAGUUAUAACUAAAGGUGGUAAGGAGGUAGAAGGUGGCAGCCCUAACACUCUCCAUUCCAACACUGCCUGCAGCAGUCGGCUGUUCCAACACCUGUCACUGACUGCACCCAGCAGCAGGGCUGCGCUGGGGGACAUUUUUAACAUCUGGGGUUCCCAUCUUUUGGAAACCAACAUGGCAAAGGAGGCAGCAGCUACGGCCAGGCCAAUUUCUCCAUGCCCCUGGGCUCAGAACACCUCUCAACCCCUUGACCCAUAAUCUGGAGCUGAAGUUUUAUCAAGCAACAGCCAGUUAAAAGACCUGUGCCACAGCUGCCCUGCCUGUCCCCUCCAUGGCAUCUCAUCCCAGGCCACAUGGAACCAGCCUAAAUCUAAGGCAAGAACUCGAGAAAGAUGCAGUCCCUAGGCCAGGACUGGGGCAGGGCAGAGGCCCUGGACAGUGGGUUCUCUUAAUAUCAUCCCUGUCCUCCACCUGUUUGAUUCAAAGGGGCUCAGUGCUGGAUUCCAGGGAUGCAUUUCCCUCCAGGGCUCAAAGAUGGAGUUGCAGCACCUUCCACUUCCUGUGCCGCCUCCUGGGAAAUCCCUCUAUCUUGCCACUCAUGUGCCCACCACAUCACUGUGACCUUAUCUGAAGCCAACCAUUCCAUAUUCUCUCUCCAGCCUGUCCAUUCCAGAUAUGAUGAGCUCCAGGCUCCCCCAAUCCAGCUGAGUGAACUUUCACUGGCAACCAAAACAGGAGGGACCAAAGCUCCCACAAGUCUCUUCUCCGGGACCCAGGAGCUGGUGACAGGCAAUGAGGAGAGCUGGGGCUCAUUCAUCACAUACCUCCUUUGACUAUAGGCAGGAGCAGGUUUGUCCCCAAGGGCUGUAUAAUUAGGUUUCUGCUGUGGCCCAGCCUAGAGGUCCCUUGCUCUGCCCAGGGCUGGCAUAGGGCACCAGAAGAGCGUCUUUCUUCCCUAACUGUUGAGCUCUUUUAGGGGAAUGUUGGUGAAGUACUAGGGUCCAUGUGCUGCCCUUUAUGCAGUUAUUAACUCUGGGUGGGGAGAAACAGCACUAGCAGGUUAGCAAACCUAAGGUUCAGAGAGGACAAUCAACAGCUUAGGCACGCAGCCCAGGGUGUCUCUGAGAACUGAGAAGGCCAGAGCGUUUCCUAGUCACUGAAAGUUUCUUCCAAACUACUCUCUUGAAAACUUUAUCUCUUCCUUCAGACUCUUAAAGAUCCACUUCCAGCUGGACCUAUCUGAGUGCUUACCUGUUCUGUCAGGUCCUUCGUUUUGUCCUAAAAUACCAAUUCCAAGUACUCCCAGGCCUAAGCAAUCUGGGCCUCACCCUCAGUAACCACAGGCCCCAUCUCCAAGGCCCAUUCCCCUCAGCCAAGUGUCCCAUCAAAAACUCUUGCUUGUUCACUGGUUCCACGGCAGAAUACAUUCAAGGAAACCGAUUUGCUCCACCAGACCAUCUCCCAGUGGGCCUGGUGGGAAGCUUUGCUGAGGAUGAUGAAGGGGUCCUGGUCUGGGAGGAGGGAUAGGGGGUGAUCGGAUAUAGGAACUUAUCUGCAAUUCUUUCAUAUCUAACAAGGACAGCAAUCUCUGUUCUGUCAGCACGCACAGCUCGGCUUAAAUGGGCCUCACCACUCGUCUGCUCAUCCUGCCUCUGCUCCCUCUCUCUGAAGUCGGCUGGGCAGCUUCUUCAGCCAGCGUUAUCACUCCCUCUAACCGGUCUUGGCAGGCAAUCUAAUUCCUCCUGAAAAGGUCACCGCCAUUUUAACUGCCUUUCAAUCACAUUAAGCACGCGCUGCCCGGCUUGCAGCCCAGCCCGCCCGGCGGGCGAUCAAUGCGCUACACUGACACCAGCCCGCCUGGCGGGGCCACACCCAACCCCCCAAGAGUUGGGGCCUAUCGGUCCUGGCCAAGGAGGGUAGACUGACAGAUGGCCAGCUCCUGCAGACAGGGUUUCGGGGGCAGAGGCGGUCAGGAUCAGACAGGGCCUCCUUUGAUAGCACCCCCCACCGAGGAGCCUCAGCCUCCUCCGCUCCACUGCGCCCUGCUCUCUGCCUCGUGGCCCCUGCUGAUCUCGCUGUAAAACAGCCUUUCAAGUCUGCCUGUCUUUUGACUGCACUAAGCUGUUUAAGAGGCGGCAGCAGCUUCUAUCAGGAAAGCUGGAGCAAUUCUCUGCAGAUAAAGGCACCUCCGGCCCCAUUCCCUCUUCAAGUCUCACUCUCAUUCUCGCUCUCCAAAUCGCUCAAAGAAAAGCCCCCUUUGAACUCCUCUCAGGAAUUCUUGAAAAGAACAACCUCACAGUGUAAACACUCAGGGAAAACUGACACCCGCCCAUAGGGCUGAAGAGCCCCUCACACCCGCUCUGCAAGUGCGUCCCAGCACCUGGGAAAUACUUGGUUGUAGCAGCAGGCCCCAUGCAGCUUCAUCCCCCUAAGCCCUGUCUGGUGCCCAGAAGCCACCAGGUCCAGUUCUGUGCCAAGAAACCUGACUAAAAACUUGCCGCGGUAAUGGAAGAUAUGAAAAUCUGCAGCCACCCAACAGAGCGAACCCAGAGCGGCAUCCUGGAACUGCCCCUGGAACAGACACCUGUGUGUACAAGUCACUGGACCCUGGGCUUUGCUGCUCAUCCUCCCUGGGCCUCAGACACUCGGAAACUCCAGGAUGGGACCAGAGUGAAAUGGCAAACGGACAUCCUCCCACCUCAGCGUUCAGGAUCGGGAAACGGUUUGGCCUGAUUAACCUUCCUGAUUUACACUUUGGCUUGUCCCCAAACACUUGGGCAAUAUGAGAGAAGCCCAGAAGCAUAACGCCACACCUGGGCUCGUGGCCCCUUCAUGUAGCCAGUCUGCCCUGGAUGGCACUGUGGGGACCACUCCUCAGCACCAGCCCGAGAAGCACUGCCCCCAAUGAGGCAGAGACCCUCCUCCCAGCUGCUGUGAGAUUCCCCAGGGACCAGACACAGCAAUACUCCCAAGGGUGUUGCCCAGAGAACUGGAGGCAGAUGGGAAGCAGACUGGCUCACUUAAUGACCACAAGCUGCAGUGCCAGCUGUGCUUGUGCACAGAAAGAGAGAAGAGCUGGAGGCUGGGAGGCUGACAGCUCCCCCUUUGCCCUGCCCAAGGCAGAAGGCUUUGACAAGAGGACACCGACCCUGGGCACCUACCAGUCUGCUAUUUGACCUGGUGGGGGUGGGGGACUUCCACUGGGCCAAGCUAUAUCUCUCCAAGGAGCCAAGUGCUAACGUGGCUUGGCUGUCACCUUCAACGCAUCACCCGAGGCUGAGAGACCCCCCUCGUCACUCCUAGCUUGCAGCCUCACAGUUCCAUUUCCCCACCCAAAUACAUCCAUUUUAAUAUGCACAUCACAGGCAGGCAGCACGGUCACAAAGGAGCCCCGCCAGCAGCAGCUUGCACGUGGUGGAAUGGAUGACCAGCCACCAGCCCUGGCCUCUUGGCUCCCAACAGAUGGAUACCCAGCAGAGGCCUGGCCACCAGAGUGCCACCGCCUAUGUGUCAGCUGCUUGUACCUCGGAAACCACCUUCCAGGAGAGUGGUGGCCCGUAUCCGCUUCUGCCCGCACCACUCAUACUCCUCAAAGCGGUUGCUGUUCUCAUGCUCGAUGUCCACGGCAUCAUCCUCAGCCAUGCAGGAGCCUUCCCUCUGUGAAGAGCAGAGCAGGAUCAUGCGGGUCCCAGGCCAUCCCUACCUGCUCCCCAGGGCCUGCAAGGAAGGCACAGCCCUAGCCCCAAGCUGCAGUGUGCCCCACAGGCCCCCAGCUCUAGGGCUCCUUUGAAGUAAACGAAUCUAGAGGUCAAAGACCUGGGCUUUUCCCCAAUAAUUUUCCACUGGAGCCCCAGGGGAGGAGUGGGAGAGCGAAAGCAAAGGAAGAGAGCAAAGAACAGAGAGGAAGAAGCUGCUGAGACCACAGGGAAACCCCAACAGCCCAUAGAUCUGGAGGCAGUCAGCAGCUAGUGUCAGGGGAAGGAGGGGAGGGGAGGGGAGGUAGGUGGUGAUGGCCCCUCUACCUUAGAAAGGCAAUGCUCCACAUGCCUACUCAUCUCCUGCUCCGAUCCUGCCAGGGGGCGGCUGCACAGGGGACAUACCUGCCCUUCAUCUUGCUUCCUCCGUUUCAUUUUCCCAAUCCGAGCUGCAUGGAGAAACCGAAAACAAAGCAUAGAACAGGCAGACGGUCACUGUAGUUCCCAAGGUCCCAGUGGAGCUGACACAUCCUGACCUCCUGCCAGCCAUUAGCCCUUUUGUUCAGUGCCUCAUCUGGCCCUCAUCAUGCAGCACCUUCGGCUCCUUUGGGGACUGGACCUUGCCAAGAGCACCUGGGGAGGAGAUUGGUGCUAGGCCAGCGAAGUGUCCACUCUUUGGCCACAGCUGGCUCAAGCUCAACCCUUACCUUCCUACCUGCAGUGCUCAAUGAAUCCAGUGAGCAAAGAUGCUCUCCUUGGCACUUGCUAUGUGUCUCCCCAGAAGGCCAAGACCAUACGCUCUUUUAGAGUCAAGAAGCAUAACUUUAGAGAACAUUUCUUGGCUAGAAUCCAAGGUCCCUCCAGGGGCCUGAUUUGGCCUGCUGUUCACUUAUCAGUUAAAACCCCUUUGUUCCUGGGCCAAGAGCCCUGAGGUACAGCCCUUACUGUCCUAUGUAGAAUUACCCCAGUGAGAAUUUCUCUCAUGUCCACUGGUCCCAUUUUACAGAAGAGGAGACUGAGGCCCAGUCAUAAAGGUAUAGAGGAUCUGAGUCAGACAGCCCAGAUACCUUGAGAGGGUAGCCCUUACUGUGCCUACCCAAACCUGUUCCAUCAUUUCUAAUCAGUGCGGAGGGGCUGGCAGGCCCUCGAGGCAGAGGGCUCCCUGCCAUGCUGUCCCGCAGGGGGCUCAAUUCCAAAGUGCACGCUGCAAGCCCACAGCACUGCUAAUUAAUGCCGAGAGAUACAAUCAUUUCUAAUUAGCUCACUAAUCCCUCUCUGCAGCCCUCCUGUCACUGAAGCAGGAAGGGGUCAAAACAAGGGACUCUGUUCCCUCUGCCCUCUCCUGUGAUGCAUCAGUAGAAGUAGAGCUAGCCACUCUGAGACCAGACUGACUGGGGUGGGGAUAGGGGUGGAGCCAGCCAAGGAGGGAAGGGUUCCCCACUGCAAGGCCAGAAAGAACUUCCUGUGGAUACUGACCCUGGUGGAAAGCUCAUCAAUGCAGUUUAGGGAGCGAGACACAGGUGAAAGGUGAUGCAGGUGAGAGUCGAUAAGUUACAGUUUAGAGUUUCAAUUGUGUGUAAGGUUCAGAGCCAAAUACCUUAUACAAGGUAGCUCAUUUUAUUCUAUAUCCAGAAACUAGGUUGUAUUAUCCAUUUUAACAGAAAAAGAUAGUCAAGGCAGUUGUCCAGGUAGCUAAAAAGUGGCAAAGGCAGCAUAGGAAACCAGGCCUGACUCCAUAGCUUAGAAGGCUUUCCUGUCCCGAGUGCCCCCAACUGAUCAGCAUCAACAAAGAUUGAUCCUGUGAGUGUGCUAGGUCAGCAAGAAUAUGCACUUGGGGCUCCUGCCUGUUGAGGGUCUGAGGCAGGGAGCUACUCCAACCCUAAAACAGAGUAGCCCUAGAAAGAGCCAAAUCAUCAAGAAAGCCACCAUCCCACCAGGACUGAGCAUGGAGUUUGAGAAACCGUGGUCUGCAGCCUGGCCCGUCUCUUCAAUUUCCUGUGCUCUCACUAUAGGAGAUGUGACUAUGUUCUGGUGCCCCGCUUGAUUUUGUGGACAAAGAUCUAGACUUCUUCACCUUGACUUCCCUAACCCUUGGACUCUCAGGCUUGGGUCAUCUUGACACCCUAGAGCAGGGGUCCCCAACCCCCAGGCCAUGGACCAGUACCAGUCCAUUGCCUGUUAGGAACCGGGCCACACAGGAGGAGGUGAGCGGUGGGUGAGUGAGGGAGGCUUCAUCUGUAUUUACAGCCGCUCCCCAUUGGUCGAAUUAUGGCUUGAGCUCCACCUCCUGUCAGAUCAGCAGCAGUACUAGAUUCUCACAGAAGCGCGAACCCUACUGUGAACUGCGCAUGCAAGGGAUCUAGGUGGCGCACUCCUUAUGAGAAUCUAAUGUCUGAUGAUCUGAGGUGGAGCUGAGGUGGUCCCAUCACCCCCAGAUGGGACCAUCUAGUUGCAGGAAAAUAAGCUCAGAGCUCCCACUGAUUCUGCAUUAUGGUGAGUUGUGUAAUUACUUCAUUAUAUGUUACAAUGUAAUAGUAAUAGAAAUAAAGUGCACAAUAAAUGUAA